rnacentral:rRNA from 1 species
UACGAAGGGGGCUAGCGUUGUUCGGAAUUACUGGGCGUAAAGCGCACGUAGGCGGGUCGUUAAGUUAGAGGUGAAAUCCCGGAGCUCAACUCCGGAACUGCCUUUGAUACUGGCGGCCUUGAGUUCGAGAGAGGUGAGUGGAAUUCCGAGUGUAGAGGUGAAAUUCGUAGAUAUUCGGAGGAACACCAGUGGCGAAGGCGGCUCACUGGCUCGAUACUGACGCUGAGGUGCGAAAGCAUGGGGAGCAAACAGG